GACGAACGCUGGCGGCGUGCUUAACACAUGCAAGUCGAACGGAAAGGCCCGGCUUUUGGGCGGUGCUCGACUGGCGAACGGGGGAGUAACACGUGAGUACCCUGUCCCUCACUGUGGGGUAACUUCAGAAAACUGGGUCUCAUACCGCAUAGGAUCUAUUGCCGCAGGGUGGGGGUUGGAUAGUUUCGGCGGUUGGGGGUGGACUGGCGGCUUAUGAGCUUGUUGGUGGGGUAGUGGCAUACCAAGGCUUUGACGGGUAGCCGGCCUGGGCGGGGGACCGGCCCCACUGGGACGGAGAUACGGCCCAGCCUCCUAUGGGACGCAAGAGUGGGGAGUAUUGUACAAGGGGCGGGAGGCAGGUGCAACCCCGCCGCGUGCGGGAAGACGUGCUUGGGGUUGUGAACUACUGCCGCCUUACCCGAGGCGUGAGUGACGGUACUGGGUGAAGAAGCACCGGCUAACUACGUG
rnacentral:rRNA from 1 species